ensembl:lncRNA
GGGACUUUCCGUACCUCACCCUGGAGAUCAAGGAGCAAAGCUGCCCAUGUGAGGGAGUGAGGAAAAGGAACACCAAGGAGCAAAGCCCUGAAGCGGCAAAGAGUUUCCAGAACAAUCUGUGAAUUCUCAAAGAACCAGGAUGUCUUCAGCUGAUGUACUCUUCCCCUUGAGUGUCACAGCAUCAGGGAACCACUGAGGCCUCAGCUGUGACCAGACGCAAAAUGGAGUUGUUUCCACACGCCAUAGUCGGCUCUCGGGCAAGGAAACACUGGGCCUUAGACAGUGCCCCUCUGCCCUGACACCCUGCCCUGGGGCCAGCCGACUAUGGACUGAAAGCCCUACAAACGGUUUGGGGCAUCCACUGGGGGCCACGGAAGGAUCUUCUGAGGAUCAGGG